AUUGGACGAAAUCAACGCCCAGGGUCCUAUUUUACCACGAAGCUUCCAGAAGACCGAAGAGGAGACGAAGUGGGGCCACGAGGUGGCCAGACUAUAGGGCGGCGCGGCCCAGGUCUUGGCCGCGCCGACCUGUAGUGUGGGCCCCUCGUGACGCCCCUCGACCUGCCCUUCCGCCUACAAAUAGCCUUCGUCGCGAAACCCCCAGUACCGAGAGCCACGAUACGGAAAACCUUCCAGAGACGCCGCCGCCGCCAAUCCCAUCUCGGGGGAUUCGGGAGAUCGCCUCCGGCACCUCGCCGGAGAGGGGAAUCAUCUCCCGGAGGACUCUACGCCGCCAUGGUCGCCUCCGGAGUGAUGUGUGAGUAGUCUACCCCUGGACUAUGGGUCCAUAGCAGUAGCUAGAUGGUUGUCUUCUCCCCAUUGUGCUUAAUUGUCGGGUCUUGUGAGCUGCCGAACAUGACCAAGAUCAUCUAUCUGUAAUUCUAUAUGUUGUGUUUGUUGGGAUCCGAUGAAUAGAGAAUACUAUGUUAUGUUGAUUAUCAA